AUGAUGAGAAAAAUUACUAGCAAUUCCAUUGGUCAUAAUCUGCUUGAGUCAAAAUUUCCUCAAUCUUCUGAUUUUGUGUGCACGUCUUGUGCCACCGGAAAGCUAAUUUUGAGGCCCUCACACCUCAAAAUACAAGCUGAACCACUUCAGUUCCUUGAACGUAUUCAAGGAGACAUUUGUGGUCCCAUUCAGCCAUUAUCUGGACCUUUCCGGUAUUUCAUGGUUCUGAUUGACGCAUCUACACGAUGGUCACAUGUGUGUCUUCUAUCCACACGAAACCAUGCAUUUGCCAAGAUAAUGAGGCAAGUCAUUAAGUUGCAAGCCCAUUAUCCUGAAAGUCGAAUUAAAUCAAUUCAAAUGGACAAUGCUGCAGAAUUCUCCUCACGUGCUUUCAAUGAUUAUUGCAUGGCUUUGGGGAUUGAAGUUCAGCACUCUGUUCCAUAUGUCCAUACACAAAAUGAUUUGGCUGAAGCGUUGAUUAAGAGGAUCAAACUCAUUGCAAGACCUUUGUUGAUGAAUUGCAACUUGCCAACCUCUUGUUGGGGUCACGCUGUUUUACAUGCUGCUGACUUGAUACAAUUGAGGCCAACUGCAUAUCACAGUUCUUCCCCUCUGGAAUUGGUACGUGGAAAUCCUCCAAGCAUUUCCCAUCUGCGUAAGUUCGGAUGUGCUGCAUACAUCCCGAUCUCACCACCACAGCGGACAUCUAUGGGCCCACACAGGAAGUUGGGGAUCUAUGUGGGGUACAAAUCGCCGUCGAUUAUUAAGUACCUGGAACCCCUGAUUGGGGAUCUGUUCACAGCUCGUCACGCUGAUUGCAUAUUUAAUGAGGAACAUUUUCCGGCAUUAGGGGGAGAUUUCAAGUACCAGAAAGAAUGCCCGGAAAUUAAUUAG
rnacentral:rRNA from 1 species